rnacentral:rRNA from 1 species
GGGUUGUGAGGUUAAGCGACUAAGCGUACACGGUGGAUGCCCGGCAGUCAGAGGCGAUGAAGGGCGUGCUAAUCUGCGAUAAGCGCCGGUAAGGUGAUAUGAACCGUUAUAACCGGCGAUACCCGAAUGGGGAAACCCAGUGUGAUUCGUCACACUAUCAUUAACUGAAUCCAUAGGUUAAUGAGGCGAACCGGGGAACUGAAACAUCUAAGUACCCCGAGGAAAAGAAAUCAACCGAGAUUCCCCAGUAGCGGCGAGCGAACGGGGAGGAGCCCAGAGCCUGAAUCAGCAUGUGUGUUAGUGGAAGCGUCUGGAAAGGCGCGCGAUACAGGGUGACAGCCCCGUACACAAAAGCGCAUGUGCUGUGAGCUCGAUGAGUAGGGCGGGACACGUGGUAUCCUGUCUGAAUAUGGGGGGACCAUCCUCCAAGGCUAAAUACUCCUGACUGACCGAUAGUGAACCAGUACCGUGAGGGAAAGGCGAAAAGAACCCCGGCGAGGGGAGUGAAAAAGAACCUGAAACCGUGUACGUACAAGCAGUGGGAGCACCCUUCGGGGUGUGACUGCGUACCUUUUGUAUAAUGGGUCAGCGACUUAUAUUCUGUAGCAAGGUUAACCGUAUAGGGGAGCCGCAGGGAAACCGAGUCUUAACCGGGCGUUAAGUUGCAGGGUAUAGACCCGAAACCCGGUGAUCUAGCCAUGGGCAGGUUGAAGGUUGGGUAACACUAACUGGAGGACCGAACCGACUAAUGUUGAAAAAUUAGCGGAUGACCUGUGGCUGGGGGUGAAAGGCCAAUCAAACCGGGAGAUAGCUGGUUCUCCCCGAAAGCUAUUUAGGUAGCGCCUCGUGAAUUCAUCUCCGGGGGUAGAGCACUGUUUCGGCUAGGGGGCCAUCCCGGCUUACCAACCCGAUGCAAACUGCGAAUACCGGAGAAUGUUAUCACGGGAGACACACGGCGGGUGCUAACGUCCGUCGUGAAGAGGGAAACAACCCAGACCGCCAGCUAAGGUCCCAAAGUCAUGGUUAAGUGGGAAACGAUGUGGGAAGGCCCAGACAGCCGGAUGUUGGCUUAGAAGCAGCCAUCAUUUAAAGAAAGCGUAAUAGCUCACUGGUCGAGUCGGCCUGCGCGGAAGAUGUAACGGGGCUAAACCAUGCACCGAAGCUGCGGCAGCGACACUGUGUGUUGUUGGGUAGGGGAGCGUUCUGUAAGCCUGCGAAGGUGGCCUGUGAGGGUUGCUGGAGGUAUCAGAAGUGCGAAUGCUGACAUAAGUAACGAUAAAGCGGGUGAAAAGCCCGCUCGCCGGAAGACCAAGGGUUCCUGUCCAACGUUAAUCGGGGCAGGGUGAGUCGACCCCUAAGGCGAGGCCGAAAGGCGUAGUCGAUGGGAAACGGGUUAAUAUUCCCGUACUUGGUGUUACUGCGAAGGGGGGACGGAGAAGGCUAUGUUGGCCGGGCGACGGUUGUCCCGGUUUAAGCGUGUAGGUGUGUGUUCCAGGUAAAUCCGGUUCACUUUAACACUGAGGCGUGACGACGAGGCACUACGGUGCUGAAGCAACAAAUGCCCUGCUUCCGGAAAAGCCUCUAAGCAUCAGGUAACAUCAAAUCGUACCCCAAACCGACACAGGUGGUCAGGUAGAGAAUACCAAGGCGCUUGAGAGAACUCGGGUGAAGGAACUAGGCAAAAUGGUGCCGUAACUUCGGGAGAAGGCACGCUGACACGUAGGUGAAGUGAUUUACUCAUGGAGCUGAAGUCAGUCGAAGAUACCAGCUGGCUGCAACUGUUUAUUAAAAACACAGCACUGUGCAAACACGAAAGUGGACGUAUACGGUGUGACGCCUGCCCGGUGCCGGAAGGUUAAUUGAUGGGGUCAGCGCAAGCGAAGCUCCUGAUCGAAGCCCCGGUAAACGGCGGCCGUAACUAUAACGGUCCUAAGGUAGCGAAAUUCCUUGUCGGGUAAGUUCCGACCUGCACGAAUGGCGUAAUGAUGGCCGUGCUGUCUCCACCCGAGACUCAGUGAAAUUGAACUCGCUGUGAAGAUGCAGUGUACCCGCGGCAAGACGGAAAGACCCCGUGAACCUUUACUAUAGCUUGACACUGAACAUUGAGCCUUGAUGUGUAGGAUAGGUGGGAGGCUUUGAAGUGUGGACGCCAGUCUGCAUGGAGCCGACCUUGAAAUACCACCCUUUAAUGUUUGAUGUUCUAACGUGGACCCGUAAUCCGGGUUGCGGACAGUGUCUGGUGGGUAGUUUGACUGGGGCGGUCUCCUCCUAAAGAGUAACGGAGGAGCACGAAGGUUGGCUAAUCCGGUCGGACAUCAGGAGGUUAGUGCAAUGGCAUAAGCCAGCUUGACUGCGAGCGUGACGGCGCGAGCAGGUGCGAAAGCAGGUCAUAGUGAUCCGGUGGUUCUGAAUGGAAGGGCCAUCGCUCAACGGAUAAAAGGUACUCCGGGGAUAACAGGCUGAUACCGCCCAAGAGUUCAUAUCGACGGCGGUGUUUGGCACCUCGAUGUCGGCUCAUCACAUCCUCGGGCUGAAGUAGGUCCCAAGGGUAUGGCUGUUCGCCAUUUAAAGUGGUACGCGAGCUGGGUUUAGAACGUCGUGAGACAGUUCGGUCCCUAUCUGCCGUGGGCGCUGGAGAACUGAGGGGGCUGCUCCUAGUACGAGAGGACCGGAGUGGACGCAUCACUGGUGUUCGGGUUGUCAUGCCAAUGGCACUGCCCGGUAGCUAAAUGCGGAAGAGAUAAGUGCUGAAAGCAUCUAAGCACGAAACUUGCCCCGAGAUGAGUUCUCCCUGAGACUUAGAGUCUCCUGAAGGAACGUUGAAGACGACGACGUUGAUAGGCCGGGUGUGUAAGCGCAGCGAUGCGUUGAGCUAACCGGUACUAAUGAACCGUGAGGCUUAACCUUACAACGCCGAAG